rnacentral:tRNA from 1 species
GUUAUAGCUCAGGGGUAGAGUGCUUGCCUAACAUGUAUGAGGCACUGGGUUCAAUCCUCAGCAUCACA